rnacentral:rRNA from 1 species
GAUCAUGGCUCAGGAUGAACGCUAGCGGCAGGCUUAACACAUGCAAGUCGAAGGGUAUAGGGAGCUUGCUUCCUAGAGACCGGCGCACGGGUGCGUAACGCGUAUACAAUCUACCUUUACAGAGGGAUAGCCCAGAGAAAUUUGGAUUAAUACCUCAUAGUAUUUUUGAAUCGCAUGAUUUGAUUAUUAAAGUUCCAACGGUAAAAGAUGAGUAUGCGUCCCAUUAGCUAGAUGGUAAGGUAACGGCUUACCAUGGCUACGAUGGGUAGGGGUCCUGAGAGGGAGAUCCCCCACACUGGUACUGAGACACGGACCAGACUCCUACGGGAGGCAGCAGUGAGGAAUAUUGGUCAAUGGGCGCAGGCCUGAACCAGCCAUGCCGCGUGCAGGAAGACGGUCCUAUGGAUUGUAAACUGCUUUUAUACAGGAAGAAACCCUCCCACGUGUGGGAGCUUGACGGUACUGUAGGCAUAAGGAUCGGCUAACUCCGUG